AACGAACGCUGGCGGCAUGCCUAACACAUGCAAGUCGAACGAGACCUUCGGGUCUAGUGGCGCACGGGUGCGUAACGCGUGGGAACCUACCCUUAGGUUCGCAAUCACUCCCCGAAAGGUGUGCUAAUACCGGAUAGUGUCUUCGGACCAAAGAUUUCUCGCCUUUGGAUGGGCCCGCGUCGGCUUAGCGAGUUGGUAGGGUACAAGCAUAGCAAGGCGACGAUGCAUAGCUGGUCUGAGAAGAUGAUCAUCCGCACUGGGACUGAGACACGGCCCAGACUGCUACGGAGCGGAGGAGUAGGGAAUAUUGGGCGAUGGGCGAAAGCGUAAUCCAGCAAUGCCGCGUGAGUGAUGAAGGCCUUAGGGUUGUAAAGCUGUUUUUGCCGGGAUGAUAAUGACAGUACCGGGAGAAUAAGCACCGGCUAACUCCGUG
rnacentral:rRNA from 1 species